rnacentral:lncRNA from 1 species
UUUGGCUGUUCUUGCUGCGGUGCUGUGUGCCAGCACUGUCAACUGUGAGUGCCUGUGUCCCCGCAUCCUUGACCCCGUCUGUGACACCGCCGGCAACUACUACGACAAUUCGUGCAUGUUGAACUGUGUUGAGGGUGCCGUCCAGGCCGCAGAGGGCGCCUACACUGUCAAUGGAAACUCCUGUGUUGCUGCUAGCAAGUAGAUGACCUUAACCUUUGACGACAUGGAACGUCUACGACCACAGAAGCACAUAUUGCCUGUGCAAUAAAAUAUAGAAUCAAUC